GAGGAUAUAGCUUAGUGGUAGAGUGUGUCCUGAAUAUGCAUGAGGUCCUGGGUUCAAUCCCCAGUACCUCCA
rnacentral:tRNA from 1 species